rnacentral:tRNA from 1 species
UCCUCGGUGGCUCAGAUGGUAGAGAAUCUGCCUGAAAUGUAGGAGACCUGGGUUCAAACCCUGGUUCAGGAA